rnacentral:lncRNA from 7 species
UCUCUCCUGCAGCUCACAAGUUGAAUCUCUCUGAUUACAUGUAAAUCCUUUGCGCUGUCAUCAAAAAUCAGGAUGUAUUUUCUACAGAACAUCUAAUGGCCAAUGGAAGGAAUCUUUCCACUGACUUGAGGCUGCUUUGUGUCAAACUGUAACUCACUUAGUAGAACAAGCAAUACAAACAGAUGAAUGAAUGAGUGAAUUUGCAUAUCUCCUUAACCUUCUGAAAUGCCCUUGUGUAAAUUGAACUCUUCCAUUUCAAGUGAAGUUAUCUUCAUUCAUGUAGGACUACUCUCAAUGAAUGCUGUGUAUAUUCACUAGGAAACAAGAUAAAACAUAGUACGGAAAAAUUCUCUAAAUUGGACAGCCACCGACUUUCCUGAUGUAUUCUACCAAAAUGCUUCACCUGCUAGAGGUUUCACCCAGCCAGGGAGAACUGCCAUUCUGAGUGUGCAGACCAACUGCUCAGUUGUGCCCCGAAUGCUUCUCCCAUGUGGAAUGAAUACACUGCAGGGGCAGCAGCAGACAGCAUAUCUGCAGGAAGGAGAAUGGGUUUAAAUACUUUAUUUCCUUUAAACACCCAGAGUGUUUUUCAUGGACCAUUCUUUGCAGAGCUCCAGCAAAUGCAGACAACACUUCACUAGUUGGAGUAAUGUCUGUGCUGCUGUCAGUCACUAAAGUUGCUGUUACCUGCAGCUCCAUGCAUGCAGAAUAUUUUCUGCAGCCUCCUGCAGGAAGAAAACCUGUAAGGACAAAGAAAAGAUCUUCUUUCUUCAGAAAAAUUACUUUGAGGCUGUGGAUUUGGGAGAUGUCUUCCAUGUUGGAGUAACAUGUUUUUACAUUUUCUGUAUGAUCAUGAUAUAUUUU